UGGGGAAUAUUAGGCAAUGGGCGAAAGCCUGACCUAGCGACGCCGCGUGAGGGAAGACGGUCUUCGGAUUGUAAACCUCUGUCUUUGGGGACGAAGAAGAUGACGGUACCCAAAGAGGAAGCCACGGCUAACUACGUGCC
rnacentral:rRNA from 1 species